UUGAGAGUUUGAUCCUGGCUCAGAACGAACGCUGGCGGCAGGCUUAACACAUGCAAGUCGAACGCACCCUUCGGGGUGAGUGGCAGACGGGUGAGUAACGCGUGGGAACCUACCUUUCGGUUCGGAAUAACUUGGGGAAACUCAAGCUAAUACCGGAUACGCCCUUCGGGGGAAAGAUUUAUUGCCGAUGGAUGGGCCCGCGUUGGAUUAGCUAGUUGGUGUGGUAAUGGCGCACCAAGGCGACGAUCCAUAGCUGGUCUAAGAGGAUGAUCAGCCACACUGGGACUGAGACACGGCCCA
rnacentral:rRNA from 14 species